CUUAGCACUAAAAUCGUCGGAUUAAAACUUAAAGAGCAUGGCGGCCACAAAAAUGUUUAGGGGAACUUACCAAGUAAUAGACAACCCACACGUUAUUCCUCUUAUUUUUACAGUUUGUAUACCGCCGUCUAAGUAUUACUUAUGGUAGUGCUAAAAUUUGAUUAGGAAAAUAGGACAGGUCAUGGUGCAGCCAAUAAAUAAGUUUUAGGCGAGUUACAAUAAAAAAUUUUUUUUUAAAAAAUUUUUAUAAGAUUUUAAGAAGUGGACUUAAAAGUAAUACUAAAAAGAAAUAUAGUCUGAAUUAAAAAUUUUGUGGUGU
rnacentral:rRNA from 1 species